GAUCUGAAGGAGGCCUGAAGGGGCAGAUCAUCCUAACAUUAGAUUCAAAAGUCUUCUCAGAUCGCGAGUGGGAUACGGAAAAGGGUGCGCUCGUCUUGGAAUUUAACUAAAUAACUGUGUUCGCGGCCCCCUUCCACCACUUGCUUUUUGCUGAGGCUUUGUUUUUUAAUUAAUUUUCGUGCGGCAAGCUCGAAAGAAGAGCUUUCAGUGCCUCUCCAAGAUCCUCACUUCUUGAAUUGGGCAACGCAUAUCCAUGAUAAGAGUACUUCUAUCCGAGCGGUCAUCUUUGAUCUAUGUAGCCUCCAACCAUUUUUUUCCCGAGAAUUUCUAGUCGACGGGUUUCUCGAGAAAUGCACUACUGCUUCGUUUGUCGCUGCCAGAGAGAGGUUUUUUAAAUUCGGUCAGGAAUACAUACAUACCCUUAAGCCAUUGUCCCCGUACUUUUGUUGAAAAUAGCGUGGAUAGAAUCAAGUGAGGGUGCAAGCUACCAAAAUAACGGCAGUCAGCAGCACCCAGAACAGGAUGGACACAUUAGAGAGUUUCAAUGAUCUACUUCCGAUCAACUGCUUGCACCCAAGAAUUGGGGGCGCAGAAUGUAUCCUCGAUAGCCG
rnacentral:sRNA from 1 species